rnacentral:lncRNA from 1 species
CGCCCAGCAGCCACCCGUCCGGGAGGGAGACUUGCCGGCCUCCAGUGUAGCCCACACCUCCUGGACUCUCCGUCGCCUCCCAGUUGCCUUUCAGCACAACCUCCACUGUUCUGGAGAGUGCGCUUAGGCUUGGACUUCUCCGAGCUCCAUUGCACAUGAAGUCAGUUUCUUCAAAAGCUACUCACACCUUCUGUUUUCUGCCUGCUGCUUUCCCAGGCAAACUCUCUGAGCCAGAGCUAUGGUGCUGGACACAGUGGUGCAUCUCUCUCUGGUGACACCUGCACAUCAGGAGCUGGGUGCUUGGUGAAUGGGGCAGUAGCCCCAGUGUUCAUCGGCUGUCCUCUCUUAGCAGGGAACCCCACCCCAUGAGCCAGGGAAGGGCGGCCGGGCCCCAGUAUUCUCAUGGGUGCUGCACUCAAGGCAGAGCCUCCAUCCCAUGAGUGGGGCCUGUGUGGAAGACAAGAGCCUCCACCUCUCAACCCACUUUCCUGGGCUGAGCAAGCGGUCUCAGCAAGCGGUAGCUGGUGGCAUGAUAAGAAAAGAUAACAUUCUGCCCCUCUUAGCAAGCAAAUCUCCCAGGCAGGAGCUAGGGGGUGAGGGAGUCCUGUGAUCUUGGAGAAAGCAGUCUGGAGUGGAGCCCCCCUCACUGGGGUGGGGAGUCAGGGAGGACGGGCAUCUUAUUUCACACACUGCAGGCCCUUGGUGUUCUUCCCAGGUGUUAGUAGGUUUUCUUAAUAAACGCUUCUUCAUUUGCUGUGUGCCCUUGGAAUCAUCCCAGAGAUUUUAUUUUAGUUUUUAUUUAUUUAUUUAUUUAUUUAAGACGGAAUUUUGCUCUUGACACCCAGGCUGGAAUGCAACGGCACGACCUUGGCUCACUGCAACCUCUGUCUCCCGGUUUCAAGCAAUUCUCCUGCCUCAGUCUCCUGAGUACUGAGAUUACAGGCACCCACCACCACGUUCAGCUAAUUUUUAUAUUUUUAGUAGAGAUGGGGUUUCACCAUGUUGGCCAGGCUGGUCUCGAACUCCUGAUCUCAAAUGAGAUCUCUGGACCUCAUCAUCCCAGAGAUUUUCAAUGGCUGUGUAUUUCAUGACUUCUGCCACCUUCACUGAGGCAGUCCAGGUUGGAGUGCAGUGGAGCAAUCUCCACUCACUGCAAGCUCCGCCUCCUGGGUUCGCGCCAUUCUCCUGCCUCAGCCUCCUGAGUAGCUGGGACUACAGGAGCCCACCACCAUGCCCGGCUAAUUUUUUGUAUUUUUAGUACAGACAGGGUUUCAUGAUGUUAGCCAGGAUGGUCUCGAUCUCCUGACCUCGUGAUCUGCCCACCUCGGCCUCCCAAAGUGCUGGGAUUACAGGCGUGAGCCACCACACCCGGCCUGCUUUUUUUUUUUUUUUUUUAAAGAGACAAGAAUCUUGCUAUGUUGCCCAGGCCGGUCUCAAACUCCUGGGCUCAAGCGAUCCUCCCAGCUCGAUCUCCCAAACAUUUAAAUGUUUUUAAUACAUUAAACAAGAAUUGCAUGUCUUGAGUAUUGUUAUAAAAUUCAAAUAAUUAUUUGAUCUAUAGAAUAAAAUAUACUACCAUUAGGUGACAGGUUUAGAUUAACCCUUUGAUUCCGAAUCCCAUGCACUUUCUUCCCACCUCUAUCUACUUCCUGGGAGAGACUCUAAGCUUCUACUAUGAGUUUGGCAUCAAUUGGGAUUUUAAUCCUGUUCCUGAGCCCCUCUGUGUGGAACACUUGCCAAGACAGAAACUGCAGGAACCCCAGAGUCCUUGCUCCUCAAACACUUUAGGAUUUCAAGGAGGAGGAGUCUCCCCAUUGAUGCUUCAUCCUUAUACGUCUCCACAUUCCCCAAGCCUUUUUAUUACAGGAAGCCUCAGAAUUAACCCUCCCCAUCGUAAACACAAGGACUGCCAGGCUGGGCCUCUUUCUACAGUAAGCCCCUCACUUAGUUCUGGGAGGACUCCGAG